rnacentral:rRNA from 1 species
CCUACGGGUGGCAGCAGUAGGGAAUCUUCCACAAUGGGCGAAAGCCUGAUGGAGCAACGCCGCGUGGGUGAAGAAGGUCUUCGGAUCGUAAAACCCUGUUGUUAGAGAAGCAAGUGCGAGAGAGUAACUGUUCACGUUUCGACGGUAUCUAACCAGAAAGCCACGGCUCACUACGUGCCAGCAGCCGCGGUAAUACGUAGGUGGCAGGCGUUAUCCGGAUUUAUUGGGAGUAAAGGAUACGUAGGCGGUCUUGUAAGUCUGGUGUGAAAUGCUUCGGCUUAACCGGAGUAGUGCAUUGGAAACUGGGAGACUGGAGUGCAGGAGAGGGAAGUGGAACUCCAUGGGUAGCAGUGAAAUGCGUAGAUAUAGGGAGGAACACCAGUGGCGAAGGCGGCUCUCUGGACUGUAACUGACGCUGAGGUUCGAAAGCGUGGGUAGCAAAAAGGAUUAGAUACCCGUGUAGUC